rnacentral:tRNA from 1 species
GAGAAAUUAGUUAAGAAUAUAACAUGGAAUUGUCAAUUCCAAAUUACUAUUUAUAGUAUUCCUCU